AUUGAACGCUGGCGGCAUGCCUUACACAUGCAAGUCGAACGGCAGCACGGGAGCAAUCCUGGUGGCGAGUGGCGAACGGGUGAGUAAUAUAUCGGAACGUGCCCAGUCGUGGGGGAUAACGUAGCGAAAGCUACGCUAAUACCGCAUACGAUCUAUGGAUGAAAGCGGGGGAUCGCAAGACCUCGCGCGAUUGGAGCGGCCGAUAUCAGAUUAGGUAGUUGGUGAGGUAAAGGCUCACCAAGCCGACGAUCUGUAGCUGGUCUGAGAGGACGACCAGCCACACUGGGACUGAGACACGGCCCAGACUCCUACGGGAGGCAGCAGUGGGGAAUAUUGGACAAUGGGCGAAAGCCUGAUCCAGCAAUGCCGCGUGAGUGAUGAAGGCCUUCGGUUGGU
rnacentral:rRNA from 1 species